rnacentral:rRNA from 1 species
UACGUAGGGGGCUAGCGUUGUCCGGAAUCAUUGGGCGUAAAGAGCGUGUAGGCGGUCCGGUAAGUCCGCUGUGAAAGUCGGGGGCUCAACCCUUGAAUGCCGGUGGAUACUGUCGGGCUAGAGUCCGGAAGAGGCGAGUGGAAUUCCUGGUGUAGCGGUGAAAUGCGCAGAUAUCAGGAGGAACACCGAUGGCGAAGGCAGCUCGCUGGGACGGUACUGACGCUGAGGCGCGAAAGCGUGGGGAGCAAACAGG